CUCAUCAGACGAAUAUAGAUAUUCUACAGUCCAUCAAUUCAUCAUUAUAUCAAAACGAUUUGAUUCAUAAAGUUUUGUAGGUUCU